AGCAGCCGCGGUAAUUCCAGCUCCAAUAGCGUAUAUUAAAGUUGUUGCAGUUAAAAAGCUCGUAGUUGAAUUUCGGGGUCAGUAGGUUGGUCAUGCCUCCGGUAUGUACUGGUCUCACUGAUUCCUCCUUCCUGAUGAGCCGUAAUGCCAUUAAUUUGGUGUUGCGGGGAAUUUGGACUGUUACUUUGAAAAAAUUAGAGUGUUUAAAGCAAGCUAACGCUUGAAUACAUUAGCAUGGAAUAAUGAAAUAGGACGUUCGAUCCUAUUUUGUUGGUUUCUAGGAUUGACGUAAUGAUUAAUAGGGAUAGUUGGGGGCAUUAGUAUUCAAUU
rnacentral:rRNA from 1 species